GAUAUAAUAAUUUUAUUAAAUUUUUAUUUUUAUUUUAAUAUUUAUUUAAAAUAAUAAAAUUUUUAUUAAUAAAAAGAAAAAAUUUAUUUAAUAAUAGAUUAAAGUAUUGAGAAAGAAAAUUUUAAUAUUUAAAAAGAAAAAUUUAUUUUUUGUACCUUGUGUAUCAGGGUUUAUUUAAUUAAUUUAAGUAUUUAUUGUUCUCGAAUUUAAAAGAUCUAAGAAAAUAUAAUUUUUAUUGUAAAAUAAAUAAAAUUUAAUAGUUUUUUAGUAAUGAAAUGUUAUUCGUUUUUAAAUAUAUCUAGUUUUUUAAGAAAUAAAUUUAAUUUAUUUAUUAUAAACAUAUAUUUAUUUAAUUAAGUUUAUGUUAAUAAUAUUUAAAAUUUUUAGGGAUGAGCUUAAAAANNNNNNNNNNNNNNNNNNNUUUUAUUAGUUUAUAAUUUAAUAUUUAUAUAAAAUUAGAAUUAAAAAUUUUCAAAUUUUUAAAUAUGUUAUAAUUUAUUUUUUAUUAUAAAAUAUUUAUAUUUUCUAUAAAUUUUUUAUUGAAAUAUAAUUUUUAAUUAUAAAAAUUUAGUAAUAAUGAUAAAAUUAGUAUAUUAGAAUUAUAAAAUAUUUUAUAUUUUUAAGGUUAAAUAAAGGAAUUCGGCAAAUUAUUUUUCACCUGUUUAUUAAAAACAUGUCUUUUUGUUGUAUUUUUUAAGUCUGGCCUGCCCCCUGAAUAUUUUAAAUGGCCGCAGUAUAUUGACUGUGCUAAGGUAGCAUAAUCAUUAGUUUUUUAAUUGGAAGCUAGAAUGAAGGGUUGGAUGAAAAAAAAGCUGUCUCUAUUUAAUUUAAUUAAAAAUUUAUUUUUAAGUUAAAAAGCUUAAAUUUUUUUAGAAGACGAGAAGACCCUAUAGAGUUUUAUAAAUAANNNNNNNNNNNNNNAUUUUCAUUUAGUAUUAAAUUUUUAUUUUUUUUUUAUUUAUUUAAUUGGGGUGAUUUAAAAAUUUAAUUAACUUUUUUUAUUAUUAUAUAUUUAUUUAUAAUUAGUUGAUCUUAUUAUAUUGAUUAUAAGAUAAAAUUACCUUAGGGAUAACAGCGUAAUUUUAUUAGAGAGUUCUUAUCGAUAAUAAAGGUUGCGACCUCGAUGUUGGAUUAAAAUUUAUAAUAGGUGUAGAAGCUUUAGUUAAUUAAGUCUGUUCGACUUUUAAAAUUUUACAUGAUCUGAGUUUAAACCGGUGUAAGCCAGGUUGGUUUCUAUCUUUAAUUAAAUUAAAUAUUUUAGUACGAAAGGACCAAAUAUUUAA
rnacentral:rRNA from 1 species